rnacentral:ncRNA from 1 species
AUGAAAAACCAAUAGAGCAAUUUUUCUUCAGACAUUUGUGCUUGGCUGAGGAGCCAAUGGGGUGAAGCUACCAUCUGUGGGAUUAUGACUGAACGCCUCUAAGUCAGAAUCCC